UUUUCACUGGCAGAGAGGAAAUACACAAACUAACUGCCCAAUUUUUGGUUGAAAUAUUUGGUGUCAUUCAAUCCGAACCUCCAAAAACCUUGAGGAUUCACAGUUCAGCAGCACUUAUUUUCAUCUUGGAAAUGAAAACGAGCCACAGACUGAAAAGUGAUUUCUCAGCUGUUACCAUGGAAACCACUGAAGCCACCAUGCCUCUAACUAAAGGUGUGACAUAAGAA